rnacentral:misc_RNA from 1 species
UUGUGUCCCUGUAACCCAGUAGCUUGGUGGGCAACAAGUGCUUUGAAACAUUGCAGAGGAAGACAGGCAACCUUAGAUAGAUUCUCUCUUGCUGUACGUAAAUAUGAGAAUAUUUUCACACAUGUUCAAACCGUUGUUGACAACAAUGGUUUUGUUGAAAAUCCCUUCAAAUCCCUUGUUCAAAUCCCUUGUUGAAAAUCCCUUCAAAAACACAUUUAAAUUAUAAUUUAUGUGAAUUUUUUAGGGUAAUUGUAUUGCUUGCAGUUUCAUUUGGGUCCUUGCCGGUUUGAGAACAUUAUUUCCUGGGUUACCUCUUAGUAGACAUCAAAAUCUUAUUUAAAGAAAGUGUUCUUGACUCUCUGCUUGCCACUUAGAAGAAAAAAGAGAAGUGAAGAUUUUUCGUAGUUUUAGAUGUUUGCUGGAGGUGCUGAGCAUAAUAAGUAGUGUGAUAUAUUCAGGGUCGCUUGUUGUUUGCCUAUCAAGGAAAACAAACACAGCAAAUUGCACAAGAAUUUUGUGAAAAAAGUUAUGCCAUAUUACGAAUUAAUAGAGAAAAAAUCACGAACCACUAGAGAUUCAAUGCUUGCAAUUCUACCGAUUUUCUUUUUUCAAUGUGAUUUAUGGGAUCCAACAUAUGCAAAAUGUGCCAUACCUGCUGCUUAAACUUCUGAAAGUAGAGCACACUAAAAUAUUGCUGUCUGUGUUGUGAGUACCUUGUGCCAGGUGCAAUUCAUAAUAUUGGUUCGUGAAGGUGAAAUGUUGGUAUGAUUCGGAUAUAACACAGUGAAUAUUAAGUUACUGCAUUGUUUGUAUUUUAUCAGAGUGUGCAGUUCCUUUUCCAUUAUCUUUUUCUUCUUCGUUUUACUUCUUGUUUGGGCGUUUUGAUGAAAUUAUGACAGAGAUGUGAAAAUGUUUGCAGCUUUCUUUGAAACUGAAGAUCCACUAGACAAGCUGUGCACAUAAAGUGAGCCAUUCUCAGUGGGCGGUACAACCUAUCUUGGGAACUCAGAAUACCUUGUUUUGCGUGUGUAAUUAAGAGUAAAAGCUUAAAGGGCAAUGUUGAUGCGAUGGAAAAAGAACAGAAAAAAAAAAGACGUAGGACUGGCACAGCAGGUAGUGAGAUGUAAAUGUGCAGCUCUUGUAUAGGAAAGACCUUUGUUCUGUGGCACAUAUGCAAUACUGUCUUGUCUUUUUAAAACCUUGAUGGUUAAGAACAAAUAACUGUCACUACAGAUAAUAUUGUUCGGCAUCCGAUAAAAGCUUAAGGAGUGCUUCUGACUGAGUAUGCACGAGUUUUACAACUAUGUUGUGAAGUGUUGUUGCCAUGGUUGUAUGAUGUUCCCACGUCCUUACUCUCCCUUAAGGGCAGCUGCCAUGUUAUGUUUUAAAAGGCAUGACAGUUUGUCAUAGGUGUAUAUUGAUGAGAUCUUAUCUCUGGCUUUGAAGUUUCUUUUUCAGGGAUUCCCUGUGUUAGCGGCACAAUACACAGCGUUAUAAAAACUGUGCACCAGAAGGUGCUGCUUGUUGAAAAAGAUCAUAUUCUAGAAAAGCUAUUGAGCAUCCAAAGUUCAUUAUAGAUAUCUUAAUCUGAACGACGUAUCGAGAUUAAGUUUAGUUGAUAAUUCUUUGUCUGUAUUGGGCGGUGGUCUAGGAAGUGUUGUAAUAAAUUGUUUAGAGUUCGACAAACAUUGAUUUGAUGUAUAGGUUUUUUCUGGCUCAAGGGCCAGCUUUGGACAUAUAUGCAACAUGCAGGAAAGGUGCCACAUUGUUGAUACCAUUUUUAUUAGGUGGUUGCAUUCACCCUGUGGUACCUUUUGCCAGUCCUUUUGUGACCAUCAUUUUACCGCUUGCUGUCUGUCUAAGGUCUCUUGGCACUGUAACAGCUUGCCUGCUGCUCUUGCAGCAGCUGCGGUGAUGCACCAUGUGUCUGCAUCAUUAGCUGCAGAGUUGUUAGCGUGUUCAUUUUGUUUGGUGUUGACCUGGUACAAUGUUUGUGUAUGUAAAAUUUUUGAAAGUAAAGAAAAAGCUUAGGUAAUUAAACUAGUCUGUAUUCCACCUAGUCUCAAAUUUGUCCCUGAGUGCUGAUGUCACCACACUGUUUUAAAGUGUAAGCUGACAUUGUGCAUGAACGUGCCCAUGAGAGGGACAUUGGUGUUUACUGCUCUGGGAACCAGAAGCGAAAGCUUCUCUUUGACUUGAGGCAUGUAACAUCGCUUUCCUAAUAAGAAUGUACUGUGUCUGCCUUGACAUACUGGUGCAUCUUUUUUUAACACAGAACACACUGCAAAUUUUCUUCACGCUCCCCAUGCCAACAGUGGUUCUUACAAACAGGGUAUCUAUUGUCAAAGGUGAAUUCAUUCCUUGUGAGUAAUAACAACCACUUAAAAAAUUGGGAAAUUAAUUAGAACUCUGUUUUUUAGUACUAGCUAGAACUUAGUAGGUUUGUUUCAAUAUUCUGAGAACAGAGAUUGUCAUUAUGCUGUCUAAGUGUACUACAUAGCCUUGUCACUUGAUAAACCAGCACUGGCUCUGGGCAAACAUGCUCCACGUGCAGUGACUGUUUAAUGUGAUGUUCAUGGAGCCAGUCUGCUUCGAAGAUGUUUGCACUGUCCCCCUUCCAGUGUGUGUGCUAGAAUUUAGUCUGCAUAGCUGUUCACAAGUGUUCACUGGGAUGCAGCCUAGUGAAAAAUCACAUAUGCAUACUUCAAAAGCCCUUGCAGUGAUUUGUGAUUAUGGUAUGGUAGUUAGAAGGCCACCAUGGUUUGGCUGGGGCAGUCUUGUGCAAUGUAAUCUAUUGUUGAUCUAUUUCUUUGUAGGUACUUGUUCGUUAAAUAAAGUUUGUUUGUUUGUUUU